CUUAACACAUGCAAGUCGAACGGAAAGGCCCUGCUUUUGUGGGGUGCUCGAGUGGCGAACGGGUGAGUAACACGUGAGUAACCUGCCCUUGACUUUGGGAUAACCUCAGGAAACUGGGGCUAAUACCGGAUAGGAGCUCCUGCUGCAUGGUGGGGGUUGGAAAGUUUCGGCGGUUGGGGAUGGACUCGCGGCUUAUCAGCUUGUUGGUGGGGUAGUGGCUUACCAAGGCUUUGACGGGUAGCCGGCCUGAGAGGGUGACCGGCCACAUUGGGACUGAGAUACGGCCCAGACUCCUACGGGAGGCAGCAGUGGGGAAUAUUGCACAAUGGGCGGAAGCCUGAUGCAGCAACGCCGCGUGCGGGAUGACGGCCUUCGGGUUGUAAACCGCUUUCGCCUGUGACGAAGCGUGAGUGACGGUAAUGGGUAAAGAAGCACCGGCUAACUACGUGCCAGCAGCCGCGGUGAUACGUAGGGUGCGAGCGUUGUCCGGAUUUAUUGGGCGUAAAGGGCUCGUAGGUGGUUGAUCGCGUCGGAAGUGUAAUCUUGGGGCUUAACCCUGAGCGUGCUUUCGAUACGGGUUGACUUGAGGAAGGUAGGGGAGAAUGGAAUUCCUGGUGGAGCGGUGGAAUGCGCAGAUAUCAGGAGGAACACCAGUGGCGAAGGCGGUUCUCUGGGCCUUUCCUGACGCUGAGGAGCGAAAGCGUGGGGAGCGAACAGGCUUAGAUACCCUGGUAGUCCACGCUGUAAACGGUGGGUACUAGGUGUGGGGUCCAUUCCACGGGUUCCGUGCCGUAGCUAACGCUUUAAGUACCCCGCCUGGGGAGUACGGCCGCAAGGCUAAAGCUCAAAGGAAUUGACGGGGCCCCGCACAAGCGGCGGAGCAUGCGGAUUAAUUCGAUGCAACGCGUAGAACCUUACCUGGGUUUGACAUGGAUCGGGAGUGCUCAGAGAUGGGUGUGCCUCUUUUGGGGUCGGUUCACAGGUGGUGCAUGGCUGUCGUCAGCUCGUGUCGUGAGAUGUUGGGUUAAGUCCCGCAACGAGCGCAACCCUUGUUCACUGUUGCCAGCACGUUAUGGUGGGGACUCAGUGGAGACCGCCGGGGUCAACUCGGAGGAAGGUGGGGAUGACGUCAAGUCGUCAUGCCCCUUAUGUCCAGGGCUUCACGCAUGCUACAAUGGCUGGUACAGAGAGUGGCGAGCCUGUGAGGGUGAGCGAAUCUCGGAAAGCCGGUCUCAGUUCGGAUUGGGGUCUGCAACUCGACCUCAUGAAGUCGGAGUCGCUAGUAAUCGCAGAUCAGCAACGCUGCGGUGAAUACGUUCCCGGGGCUUGUACACACCGCCCGUCAAGUCAUGAAAGUUGGUAACACCCGAAGCCGGUGGCCUAACCGUUGUGGGGGAGCCGUCGAAGGUGGGACUGGUGAUUAGGACUAAGUC
rnacentral:rRNA from 1 species